AUACUUGUGGGGCAGGGGAGAUACCAUGACCAGGAAGUAGUUUCACAGGGUGAGGCUUAUCCAUUGCACUCUGAUGUGCUGACCCCGGUGAUUUCUCCAAAUAUGGGAAACUCAGCUGCAUAAUUUGCAGUAGUGGGGGGCUGUGUUAGCUCUUUCACCUG
ensembl:snRNA U1 U1 spliceosomal RNA